CUCGCCGGACAAUGAAUGAGAA
rnacentral:miRNA from 1 species